UACGUAGGGGGCAAGCGUUGUCCGGAUUUAUUGGGCGUAAAGAGCUCGUAGGCGGUUCCGUAAGUCGGGUGUGAAAAAUCUGGGCUCAACCCAGUGGAGCACCCGAUACUGCGGUGACUGGAGUCCGGUAGGGGAGUGUGGAAUUCCAGGUGUAGCGGUGAAAUGCGUAGAUAUCUGGAGGAACACCGGUGGCGAAGGCGGCAUCCUGGACCAUGACUGACGCUGAGGAGCGAAAGCCAGGGGAGCAAACGGG
rnacentral:rRNA from 1 species